rnacentral:tRNA from 1 species
GCGGUAGUGGCUCAGUGGUAGAGCAUCGCCUUCCCAAGGCGAGGGUCGUGGGUUCAAAUCCCAUCUACCGCU